GGGCGAUUGGCUCAGCGGGAGAGCGCUUCCUUCACACGGAAGAGGUCACUGGUUCGAUCCCAGUAUCGCCCACCA
rnacentral:tRNA from 1 species